rnacentral:rRNA from 1 species
AACGAACGCUGGCGGCAGGCCUAACACAUGCAAGUCGAACGCUCCGCAAGGGGAGUGGCGGACGGGUGAGUAACACGUGGGAACCUACCUCGAGGUGCGGAGCAACCCAAGGGAAACUUUGGCUAAUACCGCAUGUGCCCUUAGGGGAAAGAUUUAUCGCCUUGGGAUGGGCCCGCGUCGGAUUAGCUAGUUGGUGUGGUAAUGGCGCACCAAGGCGACGAUCCGUAGCUGGUCUGAGAGGAUGAUCAGCCACACAGGGACUGAGACACGGCCCAGACUCCUACGGGAGGCAGCAGUGGGGAAUAUUGGACAAUGGGCGCAAGCCUGAUCCAGCCAUGCCGCGUGUGUGAUGAAGGCCUUAGGGUUGUAAAGCACUUUCGCCGAUGAAGAUAAUGACUGUAGUCGGAGAAGAAGCCCCGGCUAACUUCGUGCCAGCAGCCGCGGUAAU